AUAAAGKGCAGGACRKKUCCUGUUUUGUAUKUACCCUGAGAAUAAAGGAUCGGCUAACUCCGUGCCAGCAGCGCGGUAAUACGGAGGAUCCGAGCGUAUCCGGAUUUAUUGGGUUUAAAGGGUGCGUAGGUGGUUUGAUAAGUCAGCGGUGAAAGUUUGCAGCUUAACUGUAAAAAAUGCCGUUGAAACUGUCGGACUUGAGUGUAAAUGAGGUAGGCGGAAUGCGUGGUGUAGCGGUGAAAUGCAUAGAUAUCACGCAGAACUCCGAUUGCGAAGGCAGCUUACUAAGCUACAACUGACACUGAAGCACGAAAGCGUGGGGAUCAAACAGGAUUAGAUACCCUGGUAGUCCACGCAGUAAACGAUGAUUACUAGCUGUUUGCGAUACACAGUAAGCGGCACAGCGAAAGCGUUAAGUAAUCCACCUGGGGAGUACGCCGGCAACGGUGAAACUCAAAGGAAUUGACGGGGGCCCGCACAAGCGGAGGAACAUGUGGUUUAAUUCGAUGAUACGCGAGGAACCUUACCCGGGUUUGAACGUAGGGAGACAGGAGUGGAAACAUUCUUUUCAGCAAUGACUGCCUACGAGGUGCUGCAUGGUUGUCGUCAGCUCGUGCCGUGAGGUGUCGGCUUAAGUGCCAUAACGAGCGCAACCCUUAUUUCCAGUUACUAACAGGUCAAGCUGAGGACUCUGGAGAGACUGCCAGCGUAAGCUGUGAGGAAGGUGGGGAUGACGUCAAAUCAGCACGGCCCUUACAUCCGGGGCGACACACGUGUUACAAUGGUAAGGACAAAGGGCAGCUACCGGGCGACCGGAUGCGAAUCUCUAAACCUUAUCUCAGUUCGGAUCGGAGUCUGCAACUCGACUCCGUGAAGCUGGAUUCGCUAGUAAUCGCGCAUCAGCCAUGGCGCGGUGAAUACGUUCCCGGGCCUUGUACACACCGCCCGUCAAGCCAUGGGAGCCGGGGGUACCUGAAGUUCGUAACCGCAAGGAUCGACCUAGGGUAAAACUGGUGACUGGGGCUAAGUCGUAACAAGGUA
rnacentral:rRNA from 1 species